rnacentral:rRNA from 1 species
GGAGGUAGUGACAAUAAAUCACAAUGCGGGACUUUUUAGUUUUGCAAUUGGAUUGAGAACAAUGUACAAGAGUUAUCGAUAAACAAUUGGAGGGCAAGUCUGGUGCCAGCAGCCGCGGUAAUUCCAGCUCCAAUAGCGUAUAUUAACGUUGUUGCAGUUAAAAAGCUCGUAGUUGAAGUGUGGGGUGAGCGUUGAUAUGCUUCUAUGAAGUGUGUGUUCGCGAGCCCCCUCUCCAAUUUGCUAGUAUGGGUAUUAAGUUAUUUGUACUAGUUGUUGGUCAUUUACUGUGAGAAAAUUAGAGUGUUCAAAGCAGGCAUUUGCUUGAAUAUAUUAGCAUGGAAUAAUAAUAAGAGGCUUUUGUGGUCGAUUUAAUUGGUUUGUUCAUGAAAGCAAGAUUAAAAGGGACAGUUGGGGGUAUUCAUAUUCAAUAGUUAGAGGUGAAAUUCUCGGAUUUAUGGAAGAUGAACAAGUGCGAAAGCA